UAAAUAUGCAGUUAUCACAUGCUGUAUCCGGGUUUCGUCUGUGUGCGAAGAGCCAGGUGACUUCCUGGGCGGGGUCACAGGGUCACAGAGGCGGAGUCGGCCACUGCGACUUCUGCACAGAGCUAACUGCAUCACUGCUCCCUGGGAGAACCAUCUCGCUGCAGCUGCCAUUGUACCUGGACAUGGUUUCUCGCCAACCCUGCUGUGUGUAUCAUUAGUUUUCCAGCCAAAUUCUAGAAAGAAGCUUCUGAUUGGCUGAGGCUCAGUCAUGUGUCCACAACUUACACCCAAUCAAAAAACGGUACUGAGGAUUGAACCCAGGGCCUUCGCACGGAGCUACAUUUCCACACUGUUUUUAUUUCGACCCCUUUUCUGAGACAGAGUCUUGCUAAGUGGCUCAGUGGCCCAGGCUGGGCUUGAACUUGCGACCCUCCUGCCUCAGCCUCCCAGACCACACCAUCAUGCCCAUCCAUGUCCGCCACGGUCUAACGAUGUGACCUUCAGCAAGCUUCUCCGUGAGGCGGAAAUUCAGCCCUCCCUCCUCGCUGCUCAGCAUGGCGUGAUUCCCCAGGCAAGCUUGCUCCACGGGAUGUGUUCUAGCCCGGCCCAAGUAUGUGCCGCUCUGGGCCGCAUAGGGAAAACAUCUACACUAUUCCAAACGCACCAAAUGUUUUAAGCGGUUAUUGUCCAAAUGUUUAUUUUUUUUCCCCCGAUGCUGGGAUGGAGCCCAGGGCCACUCUUCCACCAGCUACAUCCCCAAGCCCUUUUUCCCUGGGUCAAGGUCUUGGGCCUGGGACUCGUCAUCCUCCUGACUCAGCCUCCAGAGUAGCUGAAAUUCCUGGCGAGCUCUGCUUCGCCUUGAGGUCCAAAUCACUUUGGAAACCAAUCUUUAUUUUGUUCCAAUUAUAAAUACCCCGGGUGUUUUAGGAACUGGGAAAUGCAGAAUAUCUGCUAUUAUAGACGCGGCAGUUAUUUGAAGAGCUGGGAAGAGCAGAACGCUCGGCGCGCGCUCUGCCGCUCUUGUUCUCCGUGGCCUUGUUCCCCACAGCUCAGACGCGCACAGCUGGGUGUCCGCCGACCGGGUGGGCGAGAAGAGGGAGCAGCCCACGCCCUGCGGAGCGUCCUUCAGCCCGGAGGGAAUCCUGAUGUCUGCGAUGGCGCAGGAGGUCUCGCGAGAGGCCGGAAAAGCAGACGCUGCGGCCUCAUUUACCUGUGGCACUGACAGCACCGAAGGCUGUAACUCAAGACUGUGUAAGUCAAAACUAAAAUUCCGGUUGUAACCCAAGUUGUUUGUAUGUCAGGAGGUUGUUACUCGAGUGUCCACUGUAUGCUCUAGGAUGAGCAGGCCCUGGGGUCUGGGACGGCCCGGGGGAACAGUUGCU
rnacentral:lncRNA from 1 species